GUACUGCUGAGGAGUCCUACAAUAGGACGAAACGGCCUUGGAGUAC
rnacentral:hammerhead_ribozyme from 1 species